GCCGCGGCUCGGCGCGUCCCGGCGGGGGCGAAUCAGAGGCCGCGGGGCGGGCGCGGGGGCCGGGCCCGGCUCCGCAUCGUCGGGACAGCCGCCCGAGGGUGGGAUUUUGGCCUCCUCGGUCGUGGGGAAGCGGAGGAGCCUGUCCCAGGUGGGGAGGGGGCAGCUGGCUGCCCCUCGGGAGCCCAGCGGGAGGGCGGUUCACUCCUCCUGGCAGUAGAACGUUCGGAGGGGGGACUUGCCCCAGAGACUGGCUCAAAACAGAGCUCGGGGAGAGGGCAGCGGGGCUGUGCAGUUUUCAGCAUCAAAGGGCCCAGUUCAAAUGGCCAUUUUAAAAUCUCUGGUUGCCUUCUCUUUCCAGGGGGAUUCAGCAUUUGAUGCCUUUUUCUCCUUUUGUCAUCAGCUCUGUGCUGUAGUUGUGCUAAGCCCUGACAGCACGUUUCCUGGCAACUUCCAGUAACUUUAUCUGGCACUUUCUUUCACCCAUUUCUGCAAGAUACUGAGUUAUAUUAACUGCUGGAAUAAAGCUUUAUAAAUUCAGAAA